rnacentral:rRNA from 1 species
AAAGGUAAUACUUCUAGGAAACCUUUAUUCUUUGGCGGCCUUUUUUCUUAUCAGAGGAAUUCGUCUUCCAAUCGAAAUUACCCGCUUAUUUUCUCUUUAUUCUUUUUAUUUAUACCGCCGUCUAAAUAAUACAUUAAAAAUUCUAUUUAUAAUAAUUUUUACUAAGUCAGGUCAAGGUGAAGAUAUAAUAAAGAUUAGAUAAAUUACCUAUUAACAUUAUCAAUGAAUUUUAAUCUAAAGUUUCAAAUGAAACAGGAUUUGAAAGUAGGGGGAACAUAAAUAAAAAUUUCACCCGAACUAGCGUUUAGGUGUACACAUCGCCCGUCGCUCUUA